rnacentral:rRNA from 1 species
GUAGGUGGCAAGCGUUGUCCGGAAUUAUUGGGCGUAAAGCGCGCGCAGGCGGUCCUUUAAGUCUUAUGUGAAAGCCCACGGCUCAACCGUGGAGGGUCAUUGGAAACUGGGGGACUUGAGUACAGAAGAGGAAAGCGGAAUUCCAAGUGUAGCGGUGAAAUGCGUAGAGAUUUGGAGGAACACCAGUGGCGAAGGCGGCUUUCUGGUCUGUAACUGACGCUGAGGCGCGAAAGCGUGGGGAGCAAACAGGAUUAGAUACCCUGGUAGUCCACGCCGUAAACGAUGAGUGCUAAGUGUUAGGGGGUUUUCCCGCCCCCCUUAGUGCUGCAGCUAACGCAUUAAGCACUCCGCCUGGGGGAGUACGGCCGCAAGGCUG